CCCUAAUGCAAAUCUGAUUAAUAAAUCCAAACCGCCCUCUCCAUUAUAGCUUGAGUCUAAAAACAGUGGGAUCAUCCAUGUCUAUAAACAUAUACUGCUCCUCGCUGAGGAACCAGCUGACUGAUUCAAAGAUAAAAGGACUCCCACUACUGCUGCAGCUCGGAGACUGUGAGAUAUUAGGAUAAUAUACUUCUUGUGAAACUGCAGAGUGACAUUUUGAUAAUCAUGGAGAAAGGUCGGUGUGGGUGCUAGACUGUCUAGCAAAAGGUAAACCACAAAAAUGGACCCCGUUUACCCAAUAAACAAAAGAUUAUUGGUCUUAAAGGCACCCUCCACACGGUAGAAUUCACUCCCAAACCAUAACACUUCCACCUCCACCUCCAUGCUUUCAAAGGACAUUAAAAGUAACAUUAGAAAGAUUUAGUGCAUGUGUUAUUCAUUACAAAUGUGACUUGUCUCUAGUAAAGUUUACUAUCCAACA